rnacentral:rRNA from 1 species
CCAAUAGCGUAUAUUAAAGUUGUUGCAGUUAAAAAGCUCGUAGUUGAAUUUCGGAAUCAAUUUGUUGGUCGUGCCUCGGUACGUACUGGUAUUAUUGGUUUCUACCUUCUGAAGAACCUUGAUGUCAUUAAUUUGGUGUCUUGGGGAAUCAGGACUGUUACUUUGAAAAAAUUAGAGUGUUUAAAGCAAGCAUACGCUUG